rnacentral:rRNA from 1 species
AACGAACGCUGGCGGCAGGCUUAACACAUGCAAGUCGAACGCAUCCUUCGGGGUGAGUGGCAGACGGGUGAGUAACGCGUGGGAACGUGCCCUUCAGUUCAGGAUAAUCCAGGGAAACUUGGGCUAAUACCGGAUACGUGCGAGAGCAGAAAGAUUUAUCGCUGAAGGAUCGGCCCGCGUCUGAUUAGCUAGUUGGUGGGGUAAUGGCCCACCAAGGCGACGAUCAGUAGCUGGUCUGAGAGGAUGAUCAGCCACAUUGGGACUGAGACACGGCCCAAACUCCUACGGGAGGCAGCAGUGGGGAAUAUUGGACAAUGGGCGCAAGCCUGAUCCAGCCAUGCCGCGUGAGUGAUGAAGGCCUUAGGGUUGUAAAGCUCUUUCGUCCGGGACGAUAAUGACGGUACCGGAAGAAGAAGCCCCGGCUAACUUCGUGCCAGCCGCCGCGGUAA